CUAAUUGCGUGCGCGAAUGGAUGCUCCUAUUCCUGCCGCCUUUCUAGCAACUAGUUAAUGUUAUGAUGCAUCGUUGGUCCGGCGUACGACGGCGACUGGUGCGAUUUAUGUGUCCGGAAGCCCUUUCAGCCUCCCAGGCAUGUCCCACCUGCCUCACAGCCACCGACGCAUCUCACGGCGGGGUUCUAAUUGCGUGCGCGUAUGGAUGCUUCUUUUCCCGCCGACUUUCUAACAACUAGAAAUGUUAAGAUGUAUAGUUGGUCCGGCGUACGACGGCGCCUGAUGCGAUUUAUGCGUCCGGAAGCCCUUUCAGCCUCCAGGCAUGUCCCCACCUGCCUCACAGCAACCGACGCAUCUCACGGCGGGGAUUGCGUGCGCGUAUGGAUGCUUCUUUCCCCGCCGCCUUUCUAACAACUAGAAAUGUUAUGAUGUAUCGUUGGUCCGGCGUACGACGGCGCCUGGUGCGAUUUAUGCGUCCGGAAGCCCUUUCAGCCUCCCAGGCAUGUCCCACCUGCCUCACAGCCACCGACGCAUCUCACGGCGGGGUUCUAAUUGCGUGCGCGUAUGGAUGCUCCUAUUCCUGCCGCCUUUCUAGCAACUAGUUAAUGUUAUGAUGCAUCGUUGGUCCGGCGUACGACGGCGCCUGGUGCGAUUUAUGCGUCCGGAAGCCCUUUCAGCCUCCCAGGCAUGUCCCCCACCUGCCUCACAGCCACCGACGCAUCUCACGGCGGGGUUCUAAUUGCGUGCGCGUAUGGAUGCUCCUUUCCCCGCCGCCUUUCUAGCAAUUAGAAAUGUUAUGAUGUAUCGUUGGUCCGGCGUACGACGGCGCCUGAUGCGAUUUAUGCGUUCGGAAGCCCUUUCAGCCUCCAGGCAUGUCCCCACCUGCCUCACAGCCACCGACGCAUCUCACGGCGGGGUUCUAAUUGCGUGCGCGUAUGGAUGCUCCUAUUCCCGCCGCCUUUCUAGCAACUAGUUAAUGUUAUGAUUCAUCGUUGGUUCGGCGUACGACGGCGCCUGGUGCGAUUUAUGCGUCCGGAAGCCCUUUCAGCCUCCAGGCAUGUCCCCACCUGCCUCACAGCCGCCGACGCAUCUCACGGCGGGGGUCUAAUUGCGUGCGCGUUCGC
rnacentral:lncRNA from 1 species